UACGUAGGUGGCAAGCGUUAUCCGGAUUUAUUGGGUUUAAAGGGUGCGUAGGCGGAAUAUCAAGUCAGCGGUAAAAAUUCGGGGCUCAACCCCGGCCUGCCGUUGAAACUGGCGGCCUCGAGUGGGCGAGAAGUAUGCGGAAUGCGUGGUGUAGCGGUGAAAUGCAUAGAUAUCACGCAGAACUCCGAUUGCGAAGGCAGCAUACCGGCGCCCAACUGACGCUGAGGCACGAAAGCGUGGGUAUCGAACAGG
rnacentral:rRNA from 1 species